GCGCUGAUGUCUUUUUGUUUUGUGGGCAUCGCUGUGUACAUGGGCGUGUCUGAUAGAGACUUUCAGAGUUUAAAAUACCAUCUGAUGAAUUGGACUAGAAGAAAGCAGACUUGUGUUUCCGUAUUUAUCUGCAGGUGAUGAUGGCGAGAUUGGGGUGGCUUUGAGUGUGCGCCCCACUGAUGAAGAGGGAACUCCGGGCAGCAGUUCCUUCCACCUUUACUGUCUCCUUUUCUGUCUCCCGUCUCUUUAUAAACUUGAGCAAAUGAAGGUUUUGACCCCCCCCAAAGAAGAACACUACCUCUUGAGGAAAUCCUACCCUGCAAAUACUAAGACUGUGAGCUAGACAGAGGGGCUGCUGCGGAGAUGAGCAAGGGAUCCGCCAUCAGGAACUAUGAUGACAAGGAAGCCCAGAGAGGUUAAGUAACUCUCCCAAGGUCAAACAGCAAGUAAGCUGAAUUUCAGGCUUGGUCAUUUGACUUGCAGGCCUGUUCUUUUAGCCACUUUACUACAGUUCCAUACACACUGGCGAGCAGAAGUACAAAUGAAAGGUAAUGAGGACGACCUGGAUUAAGCCAGAAGCUGCAGGAUCCAAGCGGAAGAGAGAAACGCGAGAGAUUGUAUGCGCAGCUUGGUUGGCUGGUGGAUUGUGUGACCAGGCAGGAGACCGCAUGAUGUGCUGGAAGGUUGGGUUUUGAACCAGCUUUACCGCUUGGUAACUCUGUGACCCUCGUUUUCCUAACCGUAAAGCCAGAGACCUCCCCCUUCGAGGGGUGCCAUGCAGACCAGAUGAGCUAAUGUUUGCAAACCCUCCACAAACGUGAGCUCCCCCCCCAGGAGCUGGGAUUUUUCCUCCCCCAGUGGCAGUCCCUAAAUCCAUCUCCCAAUUCCUUCCCACUAGUGUGAGAAUUGGUGUGCCAUGGAGAGGCCUGCCCCACGUGGGUGGGGUGGGGAUGGGUAAAGGGAAUGCUUUCCACUGGGUUAGACUUAAUGCUGAGUCCCAACUGGUGUAGGAAAACCAAAGGCAGUUCUUUUCAUUACACCUUACAGUGCGGGCAGGUGGGGGGAGGAUUCCAGAGCCAGCAAUGUGGGUUUGCUCUUCAGUGUCACCCCUGCUGGCAUGUGACCUAGAGUGAGUUAUUUGUCUUCUCUGGGCCUCACCCACCCCACGUUCCCUCGGGGCCUUGUAGGGCCGUCCUGAAGGCUCAGCGCCGGCUGCUCCAUACAUGCUAGCUUGUGUUACCAUCAGGGACCACAGGAGCAAGGAAAGGAUCUGCUGAAAGGGGAGUCAGCUUUGUGACUGAAUCUGACUCAGCAGUGGAGAAGUGGGGAAGACGGCUGAAAAUGCCUAGAGGCAGGGCUGGCCUGUUUCUGGGGAGUGCCUGGGGCUAGGGGCUUGAUGGCAGUCCUCAGAGAAAGUAAUGACCACAGGUGAGAUUCUGCAGGGAAGAAGCCUUGGGACAGUGGAGAGCUGGACUGAUAGCCGCAUUGGGGCACUGUUCUACCCCCCCACCCCUGUGUUUUUGUAACUGAAACAAAUACACAAAUUUCCAAGGAUGGAAAUUAAAGUUGCUUGAAACAAUCCUUACACUUGCUAUAGGCACUGGACUUGAGAUUAUUUAGUUUUCAUUAAGUGUCGCCUGUGACCUACUGAGUUAAUUUCAUGACCUCUUGAGUGAAAUCAGUUUGAAAAACAUAAAUGUUCUAGGUUACUGAGCCAGUUAGAAGUCUUGAGGUGUUUUAAGGAGAUCAUAACAGAUGUUAUGGAGGAGUAGAACGAAAACAGAAACAGCCCGUGAAUUUGGCGACCAGGCGGUCCUGUGUGAUUUUGACAGUGUGAUUUCCGGAGUUGGUUGGAGGUGUGAUUGUUGGGGCCAGCACAGGCUGUUUACUGCUUGUCUUUGUGUCAUUGAAUCCCCAGACCCUAGGAGGGAGAUGUCGUCCCCCUCCCCCCAUCAUAGGUGAGGAAAGGGAUUUUCUAAGCUGCCCAAGAUCCUGUGACGGGACAGCACGUGCCCCUGACUGCGGAUCGCCAUCAGCUCACAAAGCAGAAGGGGAAGGAAAUGGGUCAGUUGGGAGGGUUGCAGAGUUGAGGAGAAGCUUGGUAUGUUGUGUGUAGUCACACUGCUGGGGCCUCGGGGAUCACCUAGCUCUGCUUUUCUUUUUAUAGACGAGGAGGCGGGCCCAAGGGAGUAAGGAGUCCUAUGCAAGGUCACCCAGGUGGUUAGGUAGAGCUAACGCUAGAUCCCAAAUCUGGAAUAAAGGGCUCGCCUCCAAGCACUACUGUAGAAGUCUCUUGUGCUCAUCCUUUAUUGAAAAUAUUUUAAAGUACAUUAUUGUUGGUGUCCUCGGUGAUUUGUCAAGAGAACCACGGAAGAGUGAUACAGGGGCUUUGUUUCAUUUUAGGUUGGUCGCUUUUCUGGGUUCUUUUCGAUAACAGCUUUAUUGUGAGAUCAUUCACUUGCCAUACAAUUCAGCCAUUUAAAGUGCACAUUCCAGUGGUGUAUUCAGAGGGUCAUGCAGCCAUCACCACUCUCAAUUUUAGAACAUUGCCAUCGCUCCAAAAAUAAAAUCUCAUCUUACUCCCUCUCCCUCACUUCUCCCAACCCUCCAGCCAGCCCUAGGCAGCCACUAAUCUCUGUUCUGUUCUGGACAUGUCACCAGCAGCCCCGUACACCUGGUCCUCUGUGUGUGGCUUCUGUCACUUAGCAUAGUGUUUUCGGGGACCAUCUACCAGUACUUAGGUUGUUUUUGUUUUUGUUUUUGUGGCUGGAAUUAUUCGUCUUUUCUCUGAAGAACUCUGGUUUUUAAAUAUUUUUAUUCAUUGAUCUAUUUACCUGCCUUCCUACCUGUGAAAAGUCAUGUGUCCCUUUUGAUGCCUCCCAGUUCCAGCCUAAUACCACAGGGUAUAUUCUUCCCCCUUCCACUGCUAGAACUCCCUUCCCCAAAGUGAAGAAUGGGGCUGUCAUUAUCCUUAAUACAUUUACUCCUCGUGGAAGCCUAGAUAGAAUUCACGGAUGGUAGUUUGAGGCUUGCUAGUUCACCCCACUGAAAAAACCAAGCCUGCUAACUAGAACUGAGUAUUUGUUCUUACUGUUUAGUUAACGUUGACAUACGUGAAAUGCAGAUUUUAAGUGUAGGGUGCUAUGAAUUUUGACAAA